UACGUAGGCAGCGAGCGUUGUUCGGAGUUACUGGGCGUAAAGGGUGUGUAGGCGGUUGUUUAAGUUUGGUGUGAAAUCUCCCGGCUCAACUGGGAGGGUGCGCCGAAUACUGAAUGACUUCGAGUGCGGGAGAGGAGAGUGGAAUUCCUGGUGUAGCGGUGAAAUGCGCAGAUAUCAGGAGGAACACCAAUUGCGAAGGCAGCUCGCUGGGACGUUACUGACGCUGAUGCGCGAAAGCGUGGGGAGCAAACAGG
rnacentral:rRNA from 1 species